rfam:Chelativorans sp. BNC1, complete genome.
CCCCUUUCAUCGGCCGGAUCUCAUGCCUAUAUUGGGUCUGUCGGUUUCGGCCGACUAUGGCGAUAAACGGACGAUGCAAUAAGCCAUUCGGACCCGGGGGCGGUACCCGGCGCCUCCACCAGAAACCGCCGGCCCAUGCGAUGCGAAGGGCGGCUUCUGAUGGGGGCGAAAUAGGAUCGACGAGGGUGUAAAGAUCGGACUUUCGCUCGGCAUGGUACCACCGUUAUCGGACCGAACCUUAUAGUUGCCAACGACAACUAUGCGGAAGCACGUCUCGCUGCUUAAUGCAGCGCGAUAGCUUCAAUUCAAGUCUCAGGCCGUCGCAGGCCUGAGCGGGGUUCGGAGGCACCUGGCAACAGAAGCCUCCACU